rnacentral:antisense_RNA from 1 species
CACAGGCAGGCCGUACCUCGAAAUCCCAGCGGGGACAGCUGUCAGGGAGACGCACCCUCACACCGUUCAUGCAUGUCGGACGCAUCGUUGGGAUCCUUAGGGAUCACGUGGUGCUUCCUUGAAUCUCCGCUUGAGGUUUCUUCAGGCAGGUUCGGCCCUGCCCGACUCCUAGGAUUGCAGGACCAUGGCGAUGAUCCCGCGGAGAGGGUACGCACUUGCCACAGACGGCUCCUGCUCCACCAAGCCGCUGGGGCCAGUCCCCCGGCAACGGUGGCGGUUACUGUGACGCGAGCCCCCCCUCAGCACUAGCGCCUGGUGAUCGCGCCUGGGCUCUUCCUGCGUCUCCAAGCUCAGGGGCUCCUGCUUCUCAGCACUGCUGUCUGGAAAAGGCGGGAACGAGGACUAAGGCAAGCCCAGUGUGAGGCAGAGAUGGCAACACCUGGAACUAGCUUUUCAUGGGGGCAGAUAAUGUGGAGAGUGUCCCAAUUACAUCUCCCUUUAUUCUAUCUCAUACUACUAAACCCCACCAGCUAUUUGCCUACAAACUGAGUGUAUCAGUGAAGACAUCAGGACACCAAGAUAAAGGACUAGAGUCUGGUAAUCAACUACUGGCUCCUCCAGCAGCUCAGAAUGUGGCCUGUAUGCAUCACUUCACUUAAUUCAUUCAAGAAAUGCUGACUGAGUUCCUACUGUGUGUUGGACACUUUCUUAGAAGUGGGGCACACUGCAGUGUGUGGGACAAAGGCUGGGCCGUUCAUUGCUUAUGUUCUAGUUGAAGAGAGAGUCAAUCAACAACAUUCUACUUUCAGACAUUGAUAAAUGCUGUCAUGAAAAGACAAGGAAAAUGAAAAGGUAAGAAAAGGGAUGGAGAGAGAUGGGAUGAGGGGUGCCUGGGCAGACAAUGCAAUGAUCUGGCAAAAGAGUAGGACAAUCAUGAGACUGCAUGUGUUCCAGUUUCUGCUGCUGUAAAACAGCAUCGACAUGUUACAUCUUUACUAUUCUGUUACAUACAUACUAUUAUUUAAAUAAAAAAUAGUACUAGUUAACUGUGAAAAUUGCAAUAGGGCAGAUUAAACAAAUCCUUUAAAUUUAAACAAAUGUUUUAUGGUUUUUUUAUCCUCUGAUACAUUGUUUCAACUUUAAAAAACCCUCUUUAUUUGAUAUUUAAACCCUAUAUUAAUGUAUAUUCUUAAGAUACAUAAAUUUAAGAUUUUUUUCGAGACAGGGUCUCAUUCUGUCACACAGGCUGGAGUGCUGUGGUGCAAUUAUGGUUCACUGCAGCCUCCACCUCUCCAGGCUCAGCUAAUCCUCCUGCCUCAGACUCCCGAGUAUCUGGGACCACAGGGGUGCAUCACCACACCCAGCUAAUUUUUUGUAUUUUUUUGUUGGGAUGGGGUUUUGCCAUGUUGCCCAGGCUGGUCUCAAACUCCUGGGCUCAAGUGAUCUGCCUGCCUUGGCGUCUCAAAGUGUUGGGAUUGCAGGCGUGAGUCACCACAUCCAGCCUAAUUUAAGAUUUUUAAAAAGCAGAAUGUAAAUAUGGUCAUGCAUUGUGUAAUUCUGUGGAUACUUUCUGAGUAAUGCAUGGUUAGGUGACUUCAUCAUUAUGUGAACAUUAUAGAGUGUACAUACACAAACCUAGGUGAUGUAGCCUGAUGGUACAGCCUAUCACUUCGAGGCUACAAAUCCAAAUUGCCUGGAUACUGUAGACAAUUAUACUCAAUGGUAUUUGUGUAUCUAAACAUGUCUAAACAUAGAAAGGGUACAGUAAAAAUAUGGUGUAAAAGAUAGGAAAUCAUAUACCGGUAUACAGCACUUACCGUGAAUGGAGCUUGCAAGACUGGAAGUUACUCCGGGUGAGUCAGUGACUGAGCGGUGAGUGAAUGUGAAGGCUAGGACAGUACUAUAUACUACUGUAGACUUUAUAGGUACUGUAUGCUUAGGCUACACUAAAUUUAUUUGAAUUUUUUCGUCGGUAAUAAAUUAACCUUAGCUUACUAUAACUUCUUUACUUUAUAAACUUUUUAAUUUUUAAAAAUGUUUUGACUCUCGUAAUAAGUUAGCUUCAAACAAACACAUUGUAUAGCUGUACACAAAUAUUUUCUUUAUAUCCUUAUUCUAUAAUCUAAAAAUUUUUUUUAGUUUUUAAAUUUUAAUUUAAUUUUAUUUUAUUUUGAGACAGAGUCUCGCUCUCUCGCCCAGGCUAGAGUGCAGUGGCAUGAUCUUAACUCACUGCAACCUCUGCUUCCCAGGUACUAUUAUUUAAAUAAAAAUAGUACUAGUUAACUGUGAAAAUUGCAAUUAAUAGGGCAGAUCAAGCAAUUCUCUUGCCUCAGCCUCCAGAAAAUUUUAUUUCUUAAAAACUUUUUUGUUAAAAACUAAGACACAAACACAUUAGCCUAGGUACACACAGUGCCAGGAUCAUCAAAGUGUCAUUAGGCAGUAUAAACUUUUCAGCUCCAUAAGAGUUGGAAGAAAAAAAAAAUAAUAAUAAAUACAAUUUUAUAAAAAGAAAAUUUUCAGCUCUGCUAUAAUCUUAUGGGACCACUACUGUAUAUGUGGUCCCUCAUUGACCAAAACAUCAUUAUGUGGCACAUGAUUAUAACAAAUGAUGGAUGGUGAGAUUGUGAAGAAACUGGAACCCUUGUGCGUUACUGGUUGGAAUAUAAAAAGGUACAGCCACUGUAAAAAAAAAACAGUUUGGUUAUUUCUUAAUAAGUUAAUCAUAGAAUUACCAUAUAAUCCAGCAAUUUCACUUCUAGAUAUACACCCAAAAUAACUGAAUAAGGUGUUUAAACAUUAACUUGUACAAGAAUGUUCAUAGCAGUACAUUUCACAAUACUCAGAUAAUCCUCUGAUUGGCAACAACUCAAAUGUCCACCAGCUGAUGGUAUUACCCAUGCAAUGGAAUAUUAUUCAGCCAUAAAAAGGAAUGAAGUACUGAGGCAUUUUGCAACAUGAAGGAACUUUGAGGACAUUAUGUUAGUAUGCUAUAUACUGUGUAAUUCUAUUUAUAUGAAAUAUCCAGAAUAGGUAAAUCAUUAGAGACUAGAGACGGUAAGCAGAUUAGUGGAUGCCGGGAGUUUGGGGAAGGAAAGGGUGGGAAGAAUGGGAAGUGACUGCUUAAUGGAUACAGGGUUUCUUUUUGGGGUGAUGAAAAAUUUCUGGAACUAGAUUGUAGUGAUGGUUGCACAACACUGUAAAUGUACUAAAUGUCACUCAAUUAUACCCUUUAAAGUGAUUUAAAUGGUAAAUUUUAUUAUUUGUGUAUUUUACCACAAUAAAAAAGUCACCUAUCA